CAAAGCCAAUUCAAUGUAUCUCCUAAUGACAUGUCACUAGUAUCCUAAACUAUUCCGAAAGUUCAAUUGAGAUUUUGAAUGUCGAAUUGUUAUCGAAUCACUAUUGUUCAUAUCCACAGUCUCGUAUUUGCAAUUUAUGCAAUAUCAAAGUAUUUAAUAUAUAUUGAAAAUGAAUUUAUCACAUACGAACUUACCUCGAAUGUGGAAACAACGAAAUAAGUCGAUUAGUCGAUAACUUUAG
rnacentral:lncRNA from 1 species